rnacentral:lncRNA from 1 species
CUGCAGCACUGUGACAAUUUGGCUGUGGACAAUUUGGCUAUGACAGUUUGGAUCCCAGGUUAAGAACUUUGAUCUAGAAGGAGGAAGUGAUCAACAGUGUAAAACUCUGGGAUAAAGGCCAAGAACAGUGAAGACUAAAAAGAAAUCAUAGAAUGUGGCCAUGAAGAACCCACUGGUGACUUUCAAGAGAGCAGUUUCAGGAGAAUGAUGAGAAUAAAAGCCAGACUGCAAGACAGAAGGGAAAGAAUGGAUGUUGAUGAAAACAAGCAAAAAAGUUACAACUUUAGAGCAAGGAGGUCAUAUAUCCAUUUUAAUCUUAUCUUAGUGAAUGACAUAAGAUAUUGGUAUAUACUUAGUUUCUACCAAACAACUUUCCAAUUGUCCCAGCAAUUUUUACCAAAUAGCAAGUUCUUAUUCCCAAAACUUGGAUCUAUGCUAUUGUCAAAUACAAGGUAACUAUAAUCUUUUACUACUGUUUGAUGUAUGUCUGUUCUGUUCCACUCAUCUACCUUUCUAUUUCUUAGCAAGAUAAUUUUGGUAAUUACUGCUUUAUGAUAGUUUAAAAUCUAGCACUACUAAACCUCCUUCCUUUACAUUUUUUUCAUUAAUUCAUUUGAUGUUCUUGAUCUUUGUUCUUCCAAAUGAAUUUUGUUGUUAUAUUUCUCAAGCUCAAAAAAUUUUUGUUUGGUAAUUUACUUGGGAUGGCAUUGAAUAAGAUUAGUUUAGGUAGGGUUGUCAUUUUACUUAUUGUUAGCUCUGCCCACCAAUGAACAAUUAAGUAUUUCUCCAAUUAUUUAAAUAUGAUUUUGUGUGUAUAAAAAGUAUUUUAUAAAUUAUGUUUA